GGCCUUGUAGUCUAGAGGUACGAUACUUGCUUUGGGCUUACUUAUACGCGAUUGCAAGUGGCCUGGGUUCGAUUCCCAGCAAGGCCC